UCAAAAGUGGGUGUUUAACUGAUAGCAAAGAUUUACUGAAAUUUAAUUCCACUUUUUCCUUUAAAAAAAAUGUCCGCUACUGACCUGUCUGAAAUAAUUAAAUUAUGCAAUUAUCAAGUUUGUUCUGGUUGAGUGAUAAGUGUCAAAGGAUUUCCUUACAUUUAGAGAAAUUAUUGUAAAUGUGUAAAUUUAGUAAUAUUUCUGUUAUAAUUGAUUUAAAUUUGCGUGAGGAGUAAUGGCAGUUGCACCUAACCUCACUUUGGUGCAAACGUCAGGUAUUGGGGGUCCCCCAAGUGUUAGAAACCGAGCUACUCGCCUAUUUUGUUGAUAAGAUCUAUACACUGCGAGAUAUGGGGAAACUGCAGAAUCUUCCUCCACUUUUUGCUCUUGCCUUUAUUACUAUCGGAACCACCUGCCGAAGAAGAAGAAGAAGAAAAUCGUUGAUUUGGAGUGUUUGAAUGCGUUCGAUGUGUGACCUUACCCUCUCUCGCUUUUAGAUAGACUGUGUUGGCGACGAUAUUUUCCAAUUCCAUGAGUUCCAGUUUGGUGGUUGUUUUUACCCGGGGGGUCGGGUCGUGAACGACCCGUUUCCAUUAAUUAUGGGGGUGGUUGGGGGUCGGGCUGAUGCACUUGCACCCUCGAUGCGCACCCAAGGGGAUGCUGCCGCCACUUCGGGGUGUGUCUGCGACCCUUGGAAUGCCACCCUGAUGCACUCAAAGACGACUUUCUCAACAAAUUUCACCGACUUUACUAGGUACACACAGCUACCGACACGCGUCUAUCCACCGAACAGAGCGACACCACAACGAAGAGGACGAAAACAGAACUACGGAGAGGUUCACACGAGGAGGCGAUGCGGCGGUGGUGACGCUCGGGUGGGGAUCCAAACGAUCGAUCUUCAAAUGAAAAACCAAAAAUCUCGCAGAUUUUUUUCUAUGGAAGAGCAAAACAACUAAGACAAACUACAAGCUACAUGACCAAGAAUUGUAGAUUUAAUAAAAUUUUGAUGAGAAAUCUUCAAAUAUACCCAAAAUGUAAUUUGUUAUACCUAUCAAAAAAUAAAUAAACUAUACCUACAA